GUUUGAUCCUGGCUCAGGAUAAACGCUGGCGGCAUGCUUUACACAUGCAAGUCGAACGAUUUCUAUUUUUUUCAAGUUUGUGUGCUUGCACAAUGAUGAGAAUUAAUGCGAAAUAGUGGCAAACGGGUGAGUAAUACGUGGGAACUUUUUUCAAGUAGGAGAUAGCUAGUCGAAAGAUUAGGUAAUACCCUAUGUGAUCGCAAGAUUAAAGAAGCAAUUCGCUUGAAACAAGGCCUGCGUCCCAUCAGCUAGUUGGUAAGGUAAUGGCUUACCAAGGCUAAGACGGGUAGCUGGUCUGAGAGGAUGAUCAGCCACACUGGGACUGCGACACGGCCCAGACACCUACGGGUGGCAGCAGUGGGGAAUUUUCGGCAAUGGGCGAAAGCCUGACCGAGCAAUGCCGCGUGAAGGAUGAAGGCCCUAUGGGUUGUAAACUUCUGUGGAAAACAACUAAACAAAUGAAGUGUUUUCUAGAAAGAGGUUGCUAACUCUGUGCCAGCAGCAGCGGUAAUACAGAGACCUCAAGCGUUAUCCGGUAUUAUUGGGCGUAAAGAGUUCCGAUCGGUUGUUAUAUUUGUCUAAUAUUAAAGACCAAAGCUCAACUUUGUGUAUGUAUUAGAAACGGUAUAACUAGAAGAGUAAAGGGGUGGCUGGAACUCUGCAAGUAGCGGUGAAAUGUGUUGAUAUGCAGGGGAACACCAAAAGCGAAGGCAGGCCACUAGGUACUUCUUGACACUGCUAGGACGAAAGCGUGGGGAGAGAAUGGGAUUAGAUACCCCAAUAUUCCACGCCCUAAACGAUGAGUGCUUGCUUUUAGGAGGAGUCAAUCCCUCUUAGAGGCAAAAGCUAACGCUAUAAGCACUCCGCCUGUAGACUACGGUCGGAAGACUAAAACAUAAAGGAAUUGACGGGAACCCGCACAAGCGGUGGAUCAUGCGGCUUAAUUCGACUCUAAGCGAGGAACCUCACCAAGGUUUGACAUGUUAAUGCUAAUCCUAUGAAAGUAGGACUCCUUCGAGGGUUUAACACAGAUGAUGCACGGUCGUCGUCAGCUCGUGUCGUGAGAUGUUCGGUUAAGUCCGAAAACGAGCGCAACCCCUAUCUUUAGUUAUUUAAUGUCUAAAGACACUGCCCAGGUUUAACUGGGAGGAAGGCAGGGAUGACGUCAGAUCAGCGUGUCUCUUACACCUUGGGCUGCACGCAUGAUACAAUGGGUAUGGUACAACGGGACGCCAAGCGGUAACGCGGAGCAAAUCCUAUAAAACCACCCCAAGUACGGAUUGAGGGCUGCAACUCGCCCUCAUGAAGCUGGAAUCGCUAGUAAUCGCGAAUCAGCCUCGUCGCGGUGAAUACGUUCUCGGGUUUUGUACACACUGCCCGUCACGCCUGGAAAUUGGAAGGGCCCCAAAGCAUCAUUUAUGGUGCAGAAGGCUAAGUCAAGAACUGGGUUGAAGUCGUAACAAGGCA
rnacentral:rRNA from 1 species